UACGGGGGGGGCAAGCGUUGUUCGGAAUUACUGGGCGUAAAAGGGCUCGUAGGCGGCCAAUUAAGUCAGACGUGAAAUCCCUCGGCUCAACCGGGGAACUGCGUCUGAUACUGAUUGGCUUGAGUUCGGGAGAGGGAUGCGGAAUUCCAGGUGUAGCGGUGAAAUGCGUAGAUAUCCGGAGGAACACCAGUGGCGAAGGCGACUUUCUGGCCUGUUCUUGACGCUGAGGCGCGAAAGCUAGGGGAGCAAACGGGG
rnacentral:rRNA from 1 species